CCGGGAACGGGCCCGCGGCGCCGCCGCUGCUCGGGGCCGCAGCCGGGGCGGGGACCGGAGUGUCUCCGCCGAGGAGGCGCCUUUCCAGGAGUUCGAGGACCUGCUGCCCUCUCGAGAGUCAGGGUGGUGCGGGUGUCACACGGGAUGGAGUGGUCUCAGCCCUUUUUCUUUCGUGUCGGGACCAUAAUAGCGAUGAAAGGGGAAAAAAAUCUUCCAGUGCUGGAACGUACCACCUUUGAAGCUGCAGGCAGCCACAGCAGGCUGGCUGCGGUCUGCACAGCGUGCUAAUGCCUGCCCUCUGCAAAAGCAGGAAAGGUGCUUGCUGCAGCUGCUGCUAGAACGUCACCUUGUGAAUGGGAUUUGUACACUCUGUUUAGACUCAUUGUACAGAGUUAAGGGUAUUUGAAAUAUUUAAGGGUAUUUGGAAACUAGUUGUGGAAUCCUUUAUGUGCCUUUCCUAGAUACUGUAUGUAGGAAACACUUGCCAUGGAAGAUCGUGACCAAAAGUAUUAUUGGUAGAGUUCAUAUACUGCUUAUGUUUAACAUGAUAUUUAUCUGCAAGAUUUUGCAUUAAGAUAGGCAGUCACACUCAGGAAUCUUAAAUCCUUUCCUUUUGAUUUUCCUGUGGCUGACAGUUGAGAAUUUGUGUGGACAUAGAAUGUAAAGUUUGUAUACUGGUUUUAAGAAAUGUUAAAAAAAAUAGAUACAUUUAUCAUGCUUCUGCAGAGAUGCUACUUAUUUAGCAGCUUUAAAGAAGUGUUUUGGUUUGAUGACCUAAUGCUUUUAUCUAUAAUUAUUUAUAGGUAAUAAAUUUGAUACAGGGAGUUAAAUUGCUUGUGAAUAAUUGAUAAAUAAUAUUUCAGUACAUCUGAUAAACCAAGCUCUUUUUUUUUCUUUUUUUUUUGUCUCAGGCACAUGUUAGUCUUCUAGGUAUUCAGAUAUAAAAAAAAAUCUAAAUACUCCUCUGGGUUGUUUCAGAGCAAUGCAUUAACAUAUUUGACAAUGCUGGAAGCUGCACAAGUAAGUCAUCAUCGGUAGCUCGAAGAGAAGAAGUAUGCUGCUGUUGUAGCCAAGGUACAACUGAGGUAGUUUUAAAUUUUCUUGACAAGAUGUUUGUAGUAUUAGUUGUGAGAAGAUACAUUUGUAAAGAGCGCAGAGCAGCACCAGGGAGCAGAGACACCACAAACCAUCUGUAGGAUUCCUCACCGCAGCACUACGCAGCCACUGAAAGCUUCCAAGCUUCUUGUACUUCUGAUUGACAAUGCUCCUUUUUUUUUUUUUUCUUUCAGUGAGGCUCUAAGGAACUGUAUUGUGUCUGGAAUUGGAAUGACCAAACUUGAAGACUUCAGAGAAUCUCAUCAUGGCAAUCCUGACAGCUGCUUUUAAUUGCAAAUAAUGUGGCUGCAUUUUAAAAUAGAAGAUUAGGACAAACACUUACAUCACUUGCAUUUACUAUAUCGUCUUGCCAGAUGAGGCAAAAGGUUUAGUAUAAAAUUAAAAGGGUUUUUUUCCACUUUA